AGAACUGGCGGUGUCCGAAAUCACACUUCAUAGCUAUAAUGAUAUUUGUCCAGGAAUAUAAGGAUGGUGUUUUUGUUCUUUUGGAAUUCAAGAAUGGAAAAGUUGAAGACGGAAAAAAUGUGAAAGAGAAGAGUCAAUGAAAUGGACUUUCCAUGAAUUAAAGGAAAAGAUGAAAGGAAAGCCAAGGCAAAUAAAUAACUUUCUUGUUACAGACGUUUGAAAGGGGCAGUUUUGUCUAUUGCUGUAUUGUAUAUGUAUAUUUUGUUGAUUAUUUCAGAAAUAUUACUGAUACUACAUUUUUGAAAAUGUGUCAUUUGACUAUUCUGUCGCGUAUCAAUAAAAUAAUAAUAAUAAUAA